rnacentral:rRNA from 1 species
UACGUAGGAGGCAAGCGUUGUCCGGAAUUACUGGGCGUAAAGCGCGUGUAGGCGGUCUGAAUAGUCUGCUGUGAAAGCGCCUGGCUUAACCGGGCGAGGUCGGCGGAAACUCUCAGACUGGAGGCCGGUAGAGGGGGGUGGAAUUCCCGGUGUAGUGGUGAAAUGCGUAGAGAUCGGGAGGAACACCUGUGGCGAAGGCGGCCCCCUGGGCCGCGCCUGACGCUGAGACGCGAAGGCUAGGGGGAGCGAACGGG